CGAAUUACUGUUAUAGAUAAUUAUAAUCCGCCUAGUUCAUAAGUCACGAGGGAAAGGAAAUGCGAAGAAACAAGUUAUCCAUUGCAACGUGCGUCUACAAAAAACAUGGAUUCAUCAUUCAUCAAACCGUUAAACUAGUACGAGCUUAUACAACUCCUAUAAGGUAACACCCAGCUAAGAAUAAUUCUAAUAAUUAUCACACCAUCUCCUUACAACCUCGGUUCUCAAGUCUUCACACACUAUAUUUUCGUGCAUAAAAAUAAUGUCUUAACACUAUAUAUGAAAGCAUAUAUAAAAGUUGAAAACUCCAAAUAUUAGUUGGUUGAUGAACCCACAAACUUCCGAAGGGCACAAACAUAAGGAAAACAAUGAUAAUAGAAAAAAAAAUCCUGCCAUGAUAAGUUGAAGCAAAAUAAAAACCAAUUUGGAAUUUACCAACCAAAGGAUUGAAAUUAAACAUGCAUUGAGUAGUUUCAAUAGGAACUAUUCAAAAAGUAGUAAGAGUAAAAAUACAUAAAAAUUCAUACACGUUAGAGAUCAUAGAAUGGAUUACCCCCAAUGAAGGUUUUUUUUUUCGAAUUUUAUUCCUGGAUCCUCGUCUUCUGUGCUUUGUGUACCCAUUAGAGCUUAUAUUUUUUACAAUGAAGGUUUUUUUUUCGAAUUUUAUUCACGAAUCCUCGUCUUCUACACACUAUGUAAACAUUAAAGCUUACAUUUUUUAUGAAAUGACAAUAUAGGUAAGACUAUGAAUAUAUUCACCAUUAUAGAACUACUAUUAAACAAAUUGAAAAUA
rnacentral:lncRNA from 1 species